CAGUGAGAGCAGUGUGGAAGACAACGGUACACAUUCUACUAAGGUCAGAAAAUUGGAGCACACUUGGAAAACACUAAGAAAACGACCAAGUUGCCAUAGCAAGUUACAGUGGACAGCGACUCGGAAGAACCUGAAAGCUGUAUGACAGAGUGUGAUGACCUUAUGCCAUUACCACAAGACCAUGCAGAGCAAGCUGCCGAGGAGAGAGACGAAGUGCAGAGGUCAAAAAAAA